UACGUAGGGACCAAGCGUUGUUCGGAUUUACUGGGCGUAAAGGGCGCGUAGGCGGCAAUUCAAGUCAUCUGUGAAAUCUCUGGGCUUAACCCAGAACGGCCAGGUGAUACUGCUUUGCUAGAGUGCGGAAGGGGCAAUCGGAAUUCUUGGUGUAGCGGUGAAAUGCGUAGAUAUCAAGAGGAACACCUGAGGUGAAGACGGGUUGCUGGGCCGACACUGGCGCUGACAGCGCGAAAGCCAGGGGAGCAAACGGG
rnacentral:rRNA from 1 species